UAUUUCGCUUGUUUUACGUUUAUUUGCCAAUAUUUUCAAACUUUGUAUAGGUUAUUUAAAUUUCUACUACAAUUUUUGUCUCAAUAUUGCUGUUAAAUUAUACAGUGGCGCGUUACAAUAACAAUUUCAAUAAUUCAGUCUUUUGAAAUAAAUCAAAACCUAAGUACAUUCAUUUCAGCAGAAAAACAUUAAAAUUAAUAUAAUGCAGCUUGUAUUUUAUCUAUGUAACAACUGUUUUUUACGCUUAAUUAUUUCUUCAAUAUAUUACGUUACGUUUUUCAAAAAUAGUUUCACAUUUCUUGCUAUAAAUAGUUUUCUUGCAGUAGUGGGAUUUCCAGAUUUUUCUCAUUUAUACAUCGACACUAUGUCUUAAUGUAAUGGCUAUUUGAAAUCUUUUUUCAGCAAUUUCAUUAGUUACUGUGAUUAUCGUUAAGUUUUUAAACCGCUGUCAUUCCUUUUGCCUGUCCCAGGAGGAUAUACAAUUGAAAAAUUAAAUUAUUAUAAAAAUAAAAGAUCGAAAAAUACUAUUUCCAGUUGCAAUUAUUUGAAGUGAACUUUGCAAACUUGAUAUAUUUUCAAACGCGACUUUUCGCCUUUUAAUUAUAUAUAAGUUUUCGAUUUUAUUAGCAAAUUCAAUAAAAUUGUAGAUUUAUUAAGUGUAGAUAGUUAUAAUUCCUCAGUUAUAUGUUUCGUUUUUUAGGUGGUACCGGCUUUGCUCCCAGAGCAUUUAGCAUUUCAAAUUGUUCUGCUAUGGAAGAACAAAAUUGUUAAAAGUGCUUUUUGCGAACGACUUUUUUGUAGAUGUGUCAAGUAUUCAUUAGCAGCUAUUUGAAAUGUAGUAUGAAUUAGUGAAGAAUUUCAUCGUGUACUUAUCGAUAUUUGCACUGUUUAGUCUGCGCUGUGUUUAGUGGCUCAUUUCUAUUUGUCAUCACUGUUAUUGGCGGUCCGUUACAAAUUAUACUCGACCUUUUCGUUUGCUUAGAAUUUCAACUGAAGUGCGUGUAAAUAUUAAGUUGAUUAAGAAAUAGAAAUAAUAUGUGUAAAAGUAACGAAAUUUUAACGUAAAAUUGUGUUACGCAGUAUUUCCACUAAAUCGGAAGUGUAUUAUUAGCAACUGCAAAUUAGAAACUCCAAAGUGUCGUGUGGGCAUAAAAAUGUUUAUUAAGUGUUUGAUAGUGUGUGUCUGUCGGGAAAAGCAAAUAAUACAUGCUAAUAUAAAUUUUAAUCAUUAUAAGUAAUUGGCUGCUUUGGCUUUCAAAUUCAUAACAGUUUUUAGUAUCAACAUAACCAAAGGAAAUAUUAAAUUUGCAAGCAGCCUCUACGAAACGCGUGGUACAACAGCUGUUAAUAAUUGCACGUACAUAGUCCUUAUCGACAUGCAGUUCUAUCUCAUCAGUCGUCUGUUCGAGUGUGCUAUGCGUUAUGCCAUAGUAGAAGUACAUGAUGAAACCCAGAGUCAUCCAUAUGGUGAAUCUAACUAAGUACCAUUACGCAACUACGG